rnacentral:tRNA from 1 species
AAGGGUAUAGCUCAAGUGGCAGAGUGCAUGCUUAGCAUGCAUGAGGUCCUGGGUUCAAUCCCCAGUACCUCCU